CACACAAUUAAAUCAACGAAUUGACCAGGACGUUUCUCAGUGGCAAGUUUAAACUUUGUAUGUGGUAAAUUACGUGAUAAAGCAAUGUCGCUUUCUUGCACUCGUUUAUGACGAUUUACUUAUUAAGGUGCACGUUUGGGAACUGUCACAGAAUGCCCACCGAGUCUGAAAACCUUUGCUGUCAGGAAGUACAACAGGUAAUAAGAAGAAAUCAACAGAUUCCAGUGCCUCCAAUCUGCAUGAUCCUGCAUCCAGGCUUUGAAGCAAACUGUCUCAAUCCGUAUACCUUCCAGAACAUUCAUAAUAUAUAUAGAAGUGACUAUGGUCCAUUAAGACGCCGAACAAGAGAGGAGCAAUUCCGACAUUUGGCAUAUCGGAGCUUUGUUAGCUGGUGCUGGGGCUUCUUAGGCCGACAUGUCAGAGUGGUCAUUCCUUCCUGUGUUGUAUCCCGGAUAUGCCAGGAGUUUCCAGAUCUGGCUGGUCACUAUGUCG